AAAUGAUUAGAGACGCCCCUUAUUUUUGAAAGAUAAUAAUUUCCCCUCGCGAUCAGCGCCAGGACACAUAGAGAAAGGGAAACAUCCAUUAAGGCUCAGCUCAGUCACAGAAUAGGAUGCUGUCGGCAAUCCAAAACUGUGACAAAAACUGAGAUAAGAUGUCAUAAAUCUCAUUAUGUCCCAAUUAAUGUGUAAUCAAAAUAGCUCAAUGUUAAUUGUGAUUAUAGAAUUUCC